rnacentral:lncRNA from 1 species
CCGACCCUGCCGCAGCCCUCUCUUUCCUCUCUCCCUCGGUAGUCCCUCCUUAUCGCCACCGCCGCCGCCUCCAUGCCUCUCCCCUCCCUGCCCUCUCCUCCCCGCGUCGCCUCCAUGCCGGCACGAGCAGAGGAGUUAAAUCGAAGAGGAGGCAUCCAUAGAUUAUUCAUGUGGAGGACCGGAGAAGGGGUUCCUGGUCCCAAAGACCUCUGCGCACUCUUCGGAUUUGGGCGCCCACAAACAAAUCUGACCUCAACAGCCGUCGAUCUGGUCGGUCUUCAGAAGCCCGUGGUGCGCGCGCGGCGAGCUCCGGCAAGCAGGUGAGUGGGGGCUGAGCUCAAGCCUUGCUUCUAUCUCACAUUACUUUUCCCCCUUCUCUCUUUCCACCUACGUAGCUAGGAGCUCGGGAGGCAGCUUUGCCACCGUCGCCGGGCUCUAGCGCGAUGGCGGCCUACGGAAGACUAGCCUCCGAUGGACACAUGGUAUGGCAACAACGAGAUGUCAGCAAGGUGGCGACCCCGGCUCCUUGCAGUGGUGGCAAGCGAUGAUUCUUGUGGCCAGCGAGAUCUCAACAGUGAAAGUGGCCCUGGCUUUGCCUCCACAUCGAUCUGUGAUUGGUAGCAGCAUCUUCACUGUCCUAGCCACCAUUCCUUGCUGCAGCCAUGGAGAAGUAUCAGUUCCGGAUCCUGGCGAUACACAAGGAUCUCACCAUAUCUUGGAGUUACAGCAGCGGUGGUAACAUUUAGAUCCUGCUUUUUUCUCUCUCGUGUCCUCUCGCACCAUCCGUCUCCUACUCUGCUAUGUCAUGCAUGAUUUUUAAUCUUAGAUCUAUGGAUUCCUUUAGUUCACCGUUCCAUUGCACUGUUCAUUCCCUAAAAUAUACUGGUGAAUAGAUUAUCUAUUGAAUUUUUAUUCCUUCAGGCACAAUGUGUAUGCAGUAACAUAGUUAAAGUAUGCUAGCGGAAUGUGUUUAAAUAGUGAGUUGAUGUUUUUUUUAUGAUAGGGGGUCCCAUGAUAAGGUGAAAUCAUUUGGAUAAUUAUUUGGUUCUUUUUUGCAUCAUUUACUAAACACAUUGGUCAUCCUUGAGAAGAAGAAUGUGCCGAAGAAGUUCUAGGUAAACAAAAGUAAUUAUUUAUUAAAUGGAGAAUGCAUUCGCAUAGCGGUAUUAUUCUGAAUCAUUCAUGCAUUGCCAACAAAGAAGAAGUUAGAGGCAUUAUUUCUAGCCUGGGAGAUUUUUACUACCACCUAGAAUACAUAGUUGCUUUUCCUUUACAUGGGCAUAUUUGUGGACUGUGAUAACAAGCGAGAAAAUGGAGGGUAUGUGUUUUUUAAGUCAUUGUAGGUCAAGGUUAGUGCAGUGCAUGAUAACAGUUAGCAUGAAUGUCGAGGGUAUCAGUAAGGGGUACCCUCACCAAUGCACGUAAUGAGAUUACCCGUACGCAGGUCGAGGCCCUCAACUCGACGCUCUGGUCAGACAUACAUACGUCAAUGACCGUAGCCUCGAAGACAAAAAAGGCGUCGAGCGAAUCGAUCAGGGCUCGAGCGCGAGCUACCGUCGAAUACGGAAACGGGCUCGCGCGAACCAGAAGGCGUCGAGCGCAAGGACGCCGCCCGCCGCCUGACGCGCGCACGGGAACCAGGGCAUUUAAUGCGCCUGACGCGUUCUCACCUAACACGCCAGUCACGGGAAGCGUGAUAGGGAACAGGCACCCGUCCCAUCAUCCCUUUUGCAGCCUUCCCCGCCAAACGACUCAGAACGUGCCAGGACGCGGGAAGCAGGGAUGGAACAUCUAAACAGAACCCCCUCGAGACAUCUAAGGUCAACGCUUGGGACGACAAGGCGCUACGCGGCGUCCCACCCUCGACCAGAUAUGUUCCCUUCCAGGAAAAGGGUUGGGCGUCGACUGACAGCACCGCAACCACUCCGCCGGAUCUGCCGCUAUACCGUACAGGCGUGCGACCGGUGAACCAGCCCAAGACGGCGCGCAUAGCAGGAUACAGGGGCACGCGUAAUCAUCACUAGGCUACCAAGACGGGACGGCUCGAGACCACGCCGGUACGGAGGCCUCGAGUAGGUCAGCGCGCCAUGCUCCUAUCGACCCCUACUCUGACAUCUAUACAUGUACCCUAGGUCUCUCCUUGGAGCUAUAAAAGGGGAGACCGGGGAAUAGACAUAGACACAACACUACAUCCAUACGCAGUAGAACUCCCAUACUCCACCUCACUCUAUACCACGCUUGUAUUCGCCCCUGUACAAGCACUUAGGUGCAAGAUAAUACAAAUUUCCCUCCCCCGCUGGACGUAGGGCCUUCUCUUGCCCGAACCAGGAUAAAUCUUUGUGUCUUCUUGCAUCAGCAUCUGGGAAAGGGAGCACGCAUACAAAUUUACUCGUUGGUGUGACCCCCCGUGGGGAAAACACCGACAGUUGGCGCGCCAGGUAGGGGUCCUGCGUGUUUUUCAUCGAUUUCCCACUCCUUUCCAGAUGGCCACUCCCGCUUCGCCGAUUCCGCGCUCCACCGUGAUUUGGUUUGGGAGCCUUGAGUUCAUGUCGACUGGCUCCAGCUAUGACAUGAUCUUGCUCUUGAUCAAAGGACCGGGAGGAGCCCGCGUUGCGCCAGUGCGAAUGAGGGCCCCGAGACGCCCUCGACACCACGCCUCCCCGUCCAAGAAGAGGCGUGGGCAGCAUCAUCGUCACCCCUCUGCCUCGUCACGACCGGCAGUUCGUGCUAGGCAAGAGGUGGCACAGGAGCCGGCCACGCCGCGUACCGGAACCGUGGGCAUGCCGGCCCAACAUCAUACGACGGCAAGAGGUGACGCGCCCCGAGCGCUCUCCCCCACCGCUAGGUUGCUUCCACAUGGGCUGUUCACCCCAAGAAGGGCAUUGCCAUUCGGCUUGGACAACGCCGCGACGUCGCUCGCCAGGGCGAUAUGCCCAAACGCCCGGACGUACGUGGAAAGACCAAUGGUCCUCCCACAUGACUCCAAAGCACGGCCGCCGACGUCCGAGCUGCCGGACCUCUCCCAGGUACGAGGCCUCCGCCGCCUAGGCCCUGGACGAUACACGAUCACCUCGCUCAGGCAACGGCUAUUGGAGGAAGGACGUGGAUGUUACUACGCCGCCGAGCCGGACUCCGACUCCGAGACCGAUAGCUAUGACCCUACAAGGGAAUGCUAUCACAUCGACGGGGCGGUAGAAACUACCGACGAGACGCAGGAUGUGGCUGCCGGCGGUCGAGCCCCUGUAGCAAGAGAUGAUCCCAGGACACCUGGGAACGACGGACAGGUCGACCCGCUUCCACUGGAAGACAGGGCCGCGCAACUCGCGCAGUUACGAGAGCUCAAGACCAAGCUUGAUGAGGACCGUGAGCGCCUCGUCCUGCUCAAGCAAAUCCUCGAGCAAGACUUGCCCUACCCGCCUGGUGGAAGUAUCCGCAGACGCGCUCGAGAGGUACACCAACAAAUUGUCGGAGACGCAGAGCCAGAGCAGCCUGUCAGCCGUUUCCCUCGAGCAGGCCAGAAUGUAGUGGCGGCAACGAUGCUGCUGCGCAACAUGCCAGAGCCAUCGAACUCCCAAGCUCGACGUAUUCGAGACGAGGUACAGACUCUGCUCCAGGUGGCGGCGGUUCAACAAGCCGAAAGCUCGGCUUCUCGACGACGAGGAGCUACCACUGAAAAGCAUGACGAGCCGGCCCAAAAUGAAAAAGAGGUGUCGGUCCACCAGCAGCCACCUCCCCGAGCAAAAAAGACCACGCUCGUCCUCCCCGUCGACGACCAGCGUCGGCACGACGCACGACGCGACGUUGAAGAAAAUCGACGCCGUCGGCAUGGGGACGCGGAAGAGCGCGGUUACAGCGCACAUCAUGGCGGGAGGUACGUCAGCGACGAGGACCGAAUGGCCCCCGAGCCACCAGGCCCACGGGUGUUCAGCAGGGCAAUCCGCAGCACACCACUGCCCAGUCCGUUCCGACCCCCAACCAGCAUCGCAAAAUACAAUGGUAAAACCAAACCAGAACUAUGGCUGGCAGAUUUCAGGUUAGCUUGUCACCUAGGAGGUGCUCGAGGAGACGAUCGAGCCAUCAUCAGACAACUACCACUUUUUCUCUCUGAUACCGCCCGACGGUGGCUCGAGAAACUUCCACCUAAUCAGAUCCACGACUGGGUCGAUUUAGUUAGAGUCUUCGAGGGUAAUUCCAAAGGGACCUACAUAUGGCCCGAGAACUCGUGGGACCUUAGCAAGUGCAAACAAAAGUCAGGAGAAACUCUUCGAGAGUAUGCUCGACGCUUCUCGAAGCAGCGCACUGAGCUACCACAUAUCCCUGACCACGAUGUCAUCCUGGCAUUUGUCUCUGGUACCACCAGUCGAGACCUGGUACGAGAAUUGGGCCGGAAUCGCCCUCAAACCGUCGAUGAGCUAAUGGACAUAGUGGCAAACUACGCAGCAGGGGAGGAAGCGGUCGACGCUUUCUUCAGUUGUGAAGGAAGGAAAGGCAAGCAGCCCGCCGAUGAAGAUGGGACCCCCAGUCGAGGGCCCAAGAAAAACAAGAAGAAGCAGAAAGCGCGGCAGUUCAAGCAUGAAGACCUCGACAACGAUCUCGUCGCCGUCACGGAACGCAAGAGGCCUCGAGGCCCUCCAGAUGGAGGCAUUUUCGACAAGAUGCUAGAGGAGCUAUGCCCUUACCAUAAGGGAGGCGCCAAUCACAAGCUCAAGGACUGUCGUAUGCUGAAAAAGCAUUUCGACGGUCUGGGGUUCAAAAAGGAUGCGCGUGACGACCCAAAGAAGGAGAAGGGCGGCGACAAGGAGAGCAACCAGGACGACGAUGGUUUCCCUGCCGUCCACGACUGCUACAUGAUCUAUGGUGGGCCCUCGACGCAGUUGACUACAAGGCAGCACAAGAGGGAACGCCAUGAGGUCUUCGCAGCGAGAAUGGCGGUGCCCCAGUACCUCAGCUGGUCGAGCACGCCCAUCACCUUCGAUCGAGAGGACCACCCGGACAAGGUAGUCGCCCCAGGCGUCUACCCACUCGUCGUCGACCCCAUCAUCGUCAACACCCAACUUUCGAAGGUGCUGAUGGACGGCGGCAGCAGCCUCAACAUCAUCUACCUCGAGACCCUCGACCUCCUCGGUAUCGACAGGGGACGGCUCCAACCAAGCGUCGGCGGUUUCCAUGGCGUCGUGCCAGGGAAAAAGGCGCUGCCAGUGGGUCGAAUCGACUUACCGGUCUGCUUUGGCACGGCGGCCAACUUCAGGAAGGAGACCCUCACCUUUGAGGUGGUCGGGUUCCGGGGCACGUACCACGCCAUCAUCGGGCGCCCGGGCUACGCCAAGUUCAUGGCUAUACCCAACUACACCUACUUGAAACUGAAGAUGCCCGAUCCCAAAGACGUCAUCACCGUCAGCUCCUCUUUCGAGCACGCUUACAAGUGCGACGUUGAGUGCGUCGAGUACGGGGAGGCGGUCGAGAACUCCACCGAGCUUGUCGCAAAGCUCGAGGCCCUGGCCGCUGAGGCUCCAGAGCCCAAGCGCCACGCAGGCAGCUUCGAGCCAGCCGAAGGAACCAAGAAGAUCCCGCUCGACCCUAACAGCUCCGACGGCAAGGUGCUGACGAUCAGCGCCGACCUCGACCCCAAAUAGGAAGCUGUGCUCGUCGACUUUCUCCGUGCGAACACUGAUAUGUUUGCAUGGAGUCCCUCGGACAUGCCAGGCAUACCGAGGGAAGUCGCCGAGCACUCCUUGGAAAUUCGAGCCGGUUCCAAGCCAGUGAAGCAACGGUUGCGCCGAUUCGACGAGGAGAAGCGCAAGAUCAUUGGCGAGGAGGUCCACAAGCUUUUGACGGCCGGAUUCAUCAAGGAGGUUCACCAUCCCGACUGGUUAGCAAACCCUGUACUAGUUAAGAAAAAGAAUGGGAAAAUGAGGAUGUGUGUCGAUUAUACGAGUUUAAAUAAAGCAUGUCUGAAAGUUCCCUUUCCAUUACCACGUAUUGAUCAAAUUGUUGAUUCUACUGCGGGAUGUGAAACCCUUUCUUUCCUUGAUGCAUAUUCUGGUUACCAUGAAAUAAAAAUGAAAGAGUCCGACCAGCUCGCGAUCUCUUUCAUCACACCUUUUGGGAUGUAUUGCUAUGUAACCAUGCCAUUCGGGCUCCGAAACGCGGGAGCCACGUACCAACGCUGCAUGCUCCACGUGUUUGGCAAGCACAUAGGGUCGACAGUCGAGGCCUAUGUCGACGACAUCGUCGUCAAAUCAAAGCGGCAAGGAGACCUGAUCCAGGAUCUCGAGAUCGCUUUCAGCUGCUUACACGCCAACCAGAUCAAGCUCAAUCCCGAGAAAUGCGUUUUCGGCGUGCCUCGAGGCAUGCUCCUAGGUUACAUUGUUUCCCAGCGUGGCAUCGAGGCCAACCCUGAGAAAGUCUCGUCCAUCACAAGAAUGGGGCCGAUCCGAGACAUCAAGGGUGUGCAGAGAGUCACGGGAUGCCUAGCGGCGCUGAGCCGUUUCAUCUCAAGGUUAGGAGAAAAGGCGUUACCAUUGUAUCGGCUCCUGAAGAAAGUCGAGCGUUUCUCUUGGACUCCCGAGGCUGAGGAAGCCCUCAAAAACUUGAAGAAAACACUGACUUCAGCACCAGUCCUGGUCCCGCCUCAACCUGGGGAACCACUGCUCCUUUACGUUGCCUCAACGACUCGGUCGUCAGUGCAGCUGUGGUUGUCGAGAGGCAGGAGGAGGGGCAUGCAUUGCCAGUCCAGAGACCAGUCUAUUUCAUCAGCGAGGUGCUCUCGGAGACCAAGACGCGUUACCCUCAAAUCCAGAAGCUAAUAUACGCCGUAAUCCUCGCCCGACGCAAGCUGCAACACUAUUUCCUCGGCCACCCCAUCACGGUGGUCUCAUCCUUCCCCUUGGGCGAGAUAAUCCAAAAUAGGGAGGCCACGGGAAGAAUAGCCAAAUGGUCGGUCGAGCUCAUGAGUGAGACUCUCACUUAUGCGCCUCGCAAGGCCAUCAAAUCGCAAGCCCUGGUGGUUUUCAUCGCGGAAUGGACAGACUCCUAGCUUCCCCCGACUCAGGUCCAGUCGGAGCUGUGGACGGUGUAUUUUGACGGGUCACUCAUGAAGACGGGAGCCGGGGCCGGUCUGCUGUUCAUCUCGCCCUUAGGCGUUCAUAUGAGGUACGCCAUCAGGAUUCACUUUGCUGCAUCCAACAAUGUCACAGAGUACGAGGCCCUCGUCAACGGUCUCAAGAUCGCCAUCGAGCUAGGAGUCCGACGCCUUGACGACUGAGGCGACUCCCAGCUCGUCAUCGACCAAGUGAUGAAGGCCUCAAACUGCCACGACCCGAAAAUGGAGGCUUACUGCAAGGAAGUACGUCGACUCGAGGACAAAUUCCAUGGCCUUGAGCUCGUCCACGUCGCCCGACGCUACAACGAGGCAGCCGACGAACUCACCAAGAUCGCGUCGACCCGAGGCACGGUACCACCUGACGCGUUCUCAAGAGAUCUUCACGAGCCAUCCGUCGACUUGGGCUCGGGGGCUGGCGUCGAUGCCGCUCCUGCCUAGCAAACCGACACCGUCGAUGCAUUAUUGAUGGCAGCUGAGGUGAUGGAGGUAGAACAGUGGCCCGGCCGACCAUUCGACUGGCGCACACCGUUCCUCGACUGCCUAAUCCGCUGCGAGCUGCCAGAAGAUCGAUCUGAGGCCCGCCGUAUCGCUCGACGGGCCAAGUCAUAUGUGAUCUAUGGCGAGGACAACGAGCUAUAUCGACGAAGACCGACGGGGAUCUUGCAGCGUUGCAUCACCGUGGAAGAAGGCUGGAAGCUCCUCGAGGAUCUGCACUCGGGGGCUUGUGGCCACCAUGCUGCUCCACGGACCCUCGUAGGGAACGCCUUCCGACAAGGCUUCUACCGGCCAACGGCCGUAGCUGAUGCCAUCGAGCUCGUACGCUCAUGCCACGGGUGCCAGUUCUACGCCAAACAGACGCAUCUGCCCGCCCACGCUCUUCAGAUGAUCCCCAUCACAUGGCCGUUCGCAGUAUGGGGGCUCGACUUAGUAGGGCCUCUGCAAAAAGCAAAAGGGGGGUACACCCACUUACUGGUAGCUAUCGACAAGUUCUCCAAAUGGAUCGAGGCUCGACCCAUCACCAACAUUCGCUCCGAGCAGGCCGUCCUUUUGUUCACCGACAUCAUCCACCGGUUUGGGAUCCCCAACGUCAUCAUCACUGACAACGGCACUCAGUUCACUGGCAAGAAGUUUUUAGACUUCUGCGAUCAGCAUCACAUCCGUGUGAACUGGUCUGCAGUGGCCCACCCUCGAACUAACGGCCAGGUCGAGCGUGCCAACGACAUGAUUUUGUAGGGACUCAAGCCAAGGAUCUACAAUCGCUUGAAGAAAUUCGGCAAGAAGUGGGUCGAGGAGCUUUCCUCGGUCCUAUGGAGCCUAAGGACGACGCCAAGCAGGGCCACAAAAUACACCCCAUUCUUCAUGGUCUACGGCUCUGAGGCUGUUCUCCCGACAGACCUCGAGUAUGGGUCCCCUCGACUCAAAGCGUACAACGAACAAUCAAAUAAAGAAUCUCAAGAAAACACGGUCGACCAACUCAAAGAAGCUCGAGACAUGGCCCUCAUCAACUCUGCUAGAUACCAGCAGAAGCUUCGACGCUACCACGACAAGCACGUGCGCAGGAGGGACUUGAACGUGGGAGACCUUGUUCUACGACGGCGACAAAGCAACCAAGGACGCCACAAGCUGACCCCACCAUGGGAGGGCCCAUACGUGGUGGCCGAGGUCUUGAAGCCAGGGACAUACAAGCUCACAGACGAAAAGGGGGCAAUCUUCACCAACGCAUGGAACAUCGAACAGCUACGUCGAUUCUACCCCUAGAAUUUCAAAGCUUUAAGUUCCUACGUACGCUUUGUACCAAGGCCUUGUAAAUGAAUGUACGAAUAAAUGAAGUCUUUCCCUCAAGCAAUUUACUUUUCCACAAGUCUCAACGAUAGAAGGGAGUACCGACUACGACCCAUCAUAGUCGACACUCCCUCGGGGGCUAGCAAGGGGGGUGACCCACCCCCAAAGUAUCGGAAAAAAUCUAGUAAUCCUUUCAUUCCUAUCGGUGAUCUCACACGGUUGAGUAGUAAAGGUACCUCGAGCCCUUUAAGGGCCGAGGAACGACGAGCCUGAGAACUCCUACGCCCCCGGGCUAUGGAAACUCUACUCGCCUUCUCACCCUUGAGGAAAUUGAGACCGCCUCGAACAAAAGACCAAGUGAGAAAAAACAAACAUAGGCACAGAAAGGAAUAAAAAGAAGCCUCGAAAGAAAAGGCAGACAAAUAUAUAACAACCACUUAAAGACACUAUAUCACUUAAAAACAGGAUUAACAGAGUACUAUACAAGGGGCCCCAGGCACCCUGAGCAGGCUCGCAGGCCUUAGUCCACAGCACGAUCCUCACCACUCUCGCCUACGCCCGAGCUAGUCUCACGAGGAAGCACCUCAGGCUCAAAUAGCUUGGCCAGCCUCUCUCCAGGAACCUCCGCGUCGUCGAUCAAGGCGUGGAGCCUCUCUUCGUUCUCCGCGUCGGUCUUAGAGAUGUCGGUGACGAAGCCGUGGGACACCACCUCCAUGUCGUAGGAGAAGCCUGAGCAGACAACCGCCAUCGCCCGCUUCACCUCGAUGUGGAGGGCGUCCCGCACCCGAUCUCUCAGCGUCGCGCCUAGGUAGCACAGCUGGUCGACCAGUGCGUCGCCUCGAGCGUCCUCCUUCGACUCAUCCAUGGGCUCGAUCUCCCAAGAGGACGAGAGAUCGCUUAUCGUCGUUCGCACUCGACGGUUCAAAGCAACCUCCGCCUCGAGCUGAGCCUUAGCACUGCGGGCCUCGACUUGGGCGGCCAAGAGUUCGUCCUUAAGCCCUAUGAAUGCCAAUACAAGAAACUUUAGAAAAAACCAAGCACACCUCGAAAAGGAAGUUCGACAAUAGAAACGUACCACGGAUGCUCUCCUCCAGGGCCGUGUUCUCGCCAACCAAUCUGGUGUUGGCCCUCUCAAUCUCUUUGUUGGAGCGGGCCAGCUCAGUGUUGGCAACGCGGAGAUCCUCGAUCGCCUUGCCAGCCUGAGCAAUGGCCCCACUCUUCUCCAACAGCUCUCCCUUCAGACGUUCGACGUCGUCAGAGAGCCUGCGGGAUCGAGCCCGCUCCGCCUCGAGGUCUUCGAGGGCCUUCUUCUUGGCUUCCUCCGCAGCGCUCCUGGCGAUCUCGCCGCUCACGUGCUCCACCUUCAUCCUUUGAAAGGAGUCUCGAAGGGAGUCCAGGUCGGUCUUGAGAAGGCCCUUCUCCUUGUCCAAGUCAGCAAUGACGUUCUUAUAGGACAGGGCCUCCUCCCGGGCUUUUGAUGCGGCCUCCUCGACCAUCAGAGCCCGCUCCCGCAGCAGCGUCAUCUCCUCCACCGCCUUUCUUGAGGCCUCUUGAGCCUCGACCAAGGCAGCCUCCCUCGCCUUCUUCUCCUCCUCGAGCGCUAUGAGGUCUUUAUAAGCCUUAAGGAGUUUUUCCUGCGACUCGAGGAGUUGGUCCUUGAGGACGGGGAGCUGCUCCCAACCGCCUCUCGUGGCGUGAAUGAAGCUCGACUUGAUGCGGGAGGUCUCUUUCAUGUCCUGCAAGCCGGUGGUCAAACGGUUAGAACACAAAACCAAUGGAUCUAUAAGGACUAAGGACCGAAAAAUACUUACAAAGUAAGCCGGUCCGAGACCGUUAUUGAUGAUGUCCGACAGGAGCCCCACCACGUGCUUCAUCCAAAGGCGGAGCUCCUCGACGUGUUCCCACUUCUCGGCCUCCUUCCGAUCGUCGAGGAAGAUGUUGGGCUCGGACGGAUCGGUGGAAGCCCAGAUACGAAUCCGAUCGGGACGCCAGUUCUCCAUCUCCCGGUCAGCCCGCGCCUUGAUGCCGCGGAUAAGGUUCUCGACGGUCUCGAGGGAGCCCCCGUGGCGCAAGAACAAGUCGACGAGGCAUGGGAACCGCUCGUCGUCGUCUACCGUCUUCCAGGUGCCGUCUCCUCCCCGACGUCCCGAUCUCAUCCUCCUCAGAGGGAAAACGGUCCUCCCACGCCCGACGCUCCUGGAGGAACCCUGGGGCGAUUCCGUCCAUGCCGUAGAUCGUCCUCCUAAUCUCGGACUCAGGGUCGACGGGGGUGCGCAUCAUGCAGGCAAGCGCCACCACACCGUCCGCCCGCCCCGACUCUGUCGGGAUCGCGGCGGGCGCCCCUGGAAGGAGCCACGCUGGGGUUGGAGGGCCGAAAACCGGCAAAUCCUCCUCCUGGUCUCCGGGUUCUUGCGGCGCCGGUGGUACAGGUUGGGGCGGACUGUGAGGAGGGGGCUCGAGCGGUCCUUCUUCCUGGCCCCCCUGCUGCUGCUGCUGUUGCUCCUCGAGCUCCUGCGACUCUUGUCGGCAGCCCUGCUCCUGCGGCUGCCGCCUUGCCUCGCGCUCCCGCUCCUCCUCCUCUUCCUUUUUCUUCUGCUCCUCAAGGGCGCGAAGACCAGUAGGCCAGGGCGUCCGUCCCGCGACAAGGGAGGUCGACGCCUCCUCAUCCAUAGGACGGGCAUCCCUAGACGUCUCGUUGCCGCCAGACGUGUCGCUGAUGGUAAUGGGGUCCCCCUCGAUCCCCGAUCGGGGAGGCUCGGGGGCUCCCUCUUGCCCUUGGGUCUUGGCGACCUCGGCCUGUGUCGGCGGCGACGGGGUAGACUCGGGAUGAGGCGGGGCACUCUCAGCGUCGGCCGGAGGUUGAGAGUCGGAGGAGCCUGUAAAACAAAGAAUAUAGGCCGGUCACUAUGAUGACCAACGUAAGAGCAUCGCAAGUCCCAGAAUUAAGCUACAAACCUGGCUCCUUGGAGGCUGCUCCCGCUUUGAGCCUCUUCGCCAUUGAAGGCUGGGCCUGCUCAAGCGUCUGCUUUAAUCUGAGAAAAAAGGAACGAGCAUAAAGAGACCGGUAUACGAGGAAACAGGAGAACAAAAGUCACAACAUCAAAGAGCUUACCCCACGGGGAGAACAGCUCGCCUGCCGGUGCCCCGACCGGUGGGCUUCGAGCCACCCCGCGUCAAGGUCCUAGGCCCCUCGAGGACAGGCGCUGGCCUUGGCCCAGCAACUUCCGCUUGGCGGGCACCAGGACUGGCGCUCCUGUGGCCAGUCUCUCCUUUCUCGAAGGCUGCGGCGCGACCACCAGUCAGUGGCCCCGUCGCCUGGGGCCUAGCAUGGCUACCCAUCCUGGGCGCAGGGGGAGGGCGCGGGGCGACCUGACCAGUCGUGGGCACGGGGGGGUGUCGGCGCGAGGGCAGAGAGAUCCGCCUGGUCCCUCUUUCGGAGUUUCCAUCCGUGGGGCGACGACGUCGCCUCGAGGCGGACCCUCGAGGAUCCGGUCGAGGCGAGACGCCAUCCCCUCGGAGUCGUCGCUGUCCUCAUCACCAUCUCCCCCAUCAUCGUCGCUGGGGGAUUCUUCCUCAGGCUCCCCCCUCUGCCUGGAUUUAGCUCGACGCGCGUCUAGUGCUUGGCGGUCAAGGUUCUUCUUCUUCUCUCCUUUCUUCUUAGAGUCCUUGUCGGACUUCAGUUUCUUAGCGGACUAGCGCCGUUUGUCGCGGUCGACCUCGUCCUCCUUUACUGGAGGCCUCGAGGACCGGACAUCAAUCCGUCCCUGCUAGAACAAAGGUAGACUUAGAAAAAGGGAAGAAAGAAACCCAGAAUCGAAGCUGUGCACGAGAAGAGAGCAUACCAGAUCGAUCGAGCCCGCAUCAGGCCUCAUGGGGAAGCCGUUAACCUGCUCCGGCUUAAAGUCACCGGCAAUUGCGGCCCUGACCCGGGCCGCGACUUCGUCGUUCACCGGAGCCUCGUUGGACAUCCGGCACGCCUCGAGGUCACGAGAUGAAACGCCAGGGCCCAUCUCGUCCAUCCUCAACGGUCGAGACAUCAAUGGGAGAACUCUCCGGUGAUGGACGGUCGAGAGGACGAGAGCGGCAGUCAAGCCCUCCAGGCGAAGCUUCUUUAGGGCGUCGAGGAGGGGGUCGAGCCGCGAUUGAUGAGCUUGGACGACGCCGUAUGUCCAGUCCGCUGGACGCUCCGUGAUCAGGCGACCGGAGUAAGCAGGCAGGAGGUUGUCGUCGUUCCGCAGAUAAAACCACUGGGAGUCCCAGCCGGCGUGGUUAGUCGACAACCCCACUGGGAUGUACUCACGCGGCCUAUCCGUCUUCCCCGUCUUCUGCACGAGAUUGAGGCAUCCCGCCCGCACGGGUUUCCUCACGCCAGUGGUUCCGGUGGGGGCGUUGAAAAGCUCACCCCUGUAGAGGUGGAGCCACAGCUCCCAGUGGGGCAUCAUCCCCAGGUAGCCCUCGCACACCGCGGCGAAGACCGCCGCGACGGUGAUGGCGUUCGGGGAGAAGUGCUGGAGCUCCACCCCAUAGUGGAGGCAGAGCGCCCGCAUGAAGCGGCUCAGAGGAGCGCCCAGGCCGUGGCGGUGGAAUUUGGCGAACGACACCACGUAGCCCUCGGGCGGCUGGGGCUCCCUGUGGUCCGCCGGUGGCGAGAUCCACUCUGGCGACGAUAGCGAGGUGCGGCGGCGCAGGAGUCCCUCUCUCUCAAGCUCUAGCAACCGGCGCUCCGUCAUCGACGACGGGCGCCAGUCGUCGGCGGCGACGAGUCUCACAGGCAUCUUGGCUGGAAGGACGGUGGAUCCGCUACCGCUCGAGGGGGUGCACGCGCGCGUGAGAGAGCAAGAGAACUAAGGCAACGAGAGGGAUAAGGCGAGAAUGAAGACGGGAGGCAGAAGGGAGAACGGCGGCGACGCUAGGGCACAUUUAUAGGCAGCUGUCCACCAACAGGCAGAUCCGAUAAAUGAGGUAACUCCUCCCCAUAAAUGCGCAGUCUAACGGUCCUUUCCCUCCUCUCAGGUGGAGCGCUCCGAAUUCCACGCCAACAUAGUGUCGUAACGUCUCCCAGCUAAAAAGGCGCGCCCAACGGGCAAGAAGGCGAACCGCCCACGGUCUCUUCCUUCCCUUGUAAGCCAAGGAAGUGUACCCAUGAAAGCCUCGGGAGGUCGCAGGCUGGCCCACCGAAAGGGUUCGACAGCCGAUCUCGAGCACCAGAGUCAAGGAUCCCCAGCGAGUGGUCGAAGAUCGAGACCCGCUGAAAGGUCCUAAUAUGGCUAGAGGGGGGUGAAUAGCCUAUUUAAAAAUUCUACAAACUCACUAGAGCAAGAGGUUAGUAAAUAACAAAGCGAAGCUUUUUGCUCUAGCUCUAAAAGGGGUGUUUGCAAGCCACCUAUCCAACAAUUCUAGUUGUUAAAAUCACUAGGCACACAAGAGCUAUGUCACUACUUACACUAGAGAGCUACCUAAAGUUUCUAUAUAAGUAAGUAAGCUACUCUAGUUUGCGGGAAUGUAAGAGAGAAGGUUUGAUCUUUAUACCACCGCGUAGAGGGGAUGAACCAAUCAAUAAAAUGAAGUCCAAUCACCGGGAGAAAUCCAAUGAACAAACACAAAGGAGACAAGCAAUUUUUCUCCCGAGGUUCACGUGCUUGCCGGCACGCUACGUCCCCGUUGUGUCGACCAACACUUGGUGGUUCGGUGGCUAAGAGGUGUAGCACGAACCUCGUCCUCACUAGGACACCACAAGAACCUACCCACAAGUGAGGUAGCUCAAUGACACGAGCAAUCCACUAAUGUUGCCUUUGGCUCUCCGCUGAGGUAGGCACAAACCUCUCACAAUCACUGGGAGAUGGCCACGAACAAUCACCAACUCGUGCCAAUCCUCCUCCGCUGCUCCAAGCCGUCUAGGUGGCGGCAACCACCAAGAGUAACAAGAAAACCGCAGCCAAAUCGAUCCCCAAGUGCCACUAGAUGCAAUCACUCAAGCAAAUGCACUUGGAAUCACUCCCAAUCUCACAAAGAUGUAUAAUCUAUGAAGGAGAUGAGUGGGAGGUGUUUGCUUAGGCUCACAAGGAUGUCUAGUAGUCAAGAAUGCCAAGAGAGUCAGCCCCAAGCCGGCCAAACACGUAUAUAUAGCCCCUCAAACAAAUAGAGCUGUUGGCUCUUUCACUGGGCAAAACACGGGGUCACCGGACGCUCUUAAAGGGGCACCGGACGCUCAACACCAGCGUCCGGUGCUCCGCGUGUCAGAGUCUAACGGUAACCUGCAGAGCACCGAACGCUGAGCAGGUUGGCACCGGACGCGUCCGGUGCACACCGGACUCAUGCGCAGAGAGCUCCGCAAACUUGCAGGGUCACCGGACGCAAGCCACCGGACGCACCCUUAGCGUCCGGUGCUCACCGGACUCAUGCGCAGAGAGGUUUGCAAAACUUCCUCACACCGGACGCACACCACCGGACGCUCCAAGCUGUGUCCGGUGCCUAUCGUCCGGUGCCUAACCCUAACCGAGUCAGGCAGCCUGCACACCGGACGCUCAGACACAGCGUCCGGUGCCUCUGAGCCAGCGUCCGGUGAGUGUUCCUCAGCGAGAAACACUCCCGCGACUUCUCCAAUUUUCCCACCGGCGCAAUAGAAAAUAUGCACUUCAUUUUCUCGAAAAGCGCCGAAUCCCAAGAGGAACCCAUCCUCUCUCUACCCUUCAAACUCCACCUCCUUCUCAAAGUGUGCCAACACCACAACGUGUAAACCAACAUGUGCACGUGUGUUAGCAUUUUCGCAAACAUUUUCUUUGAAGGAGUUAAGUUAGCUCACUAGAUUCUAAAUGCAUGCACAUGAACAAUGACACCUAGUGGCACUUGAUAACCGCUUAGCCAAAGAAUUCCCCUCUUUAUAGUACGUCUAUCUAUCCUAAAUGUGAUCACACCCUCUAUGGUGUCUUGAUCACCAAAACCAAAACCCUAAGCAAUACCUUUGCCUUGAUCUCCAUAGGGUUUUGUUUUUCUCUUUCUUCUUUUCCAAGUUGAGCACAUCACCAUGAUCAUCACUUGCUCCAUCACUUGGCAUGUACCAACCUCAUUAAGUCUACACACACUUUAGUAUAGAGGUUAGUACUAGGGUUUCAUCAAUUAUCCAAAACCAAACUAGGGCUUUCACCCGCCUCGAAGGCUUGCUGGGGAUGUCCAAGGUAGGGUCAAGACAGUCGAGAGGAAUCCCCCCGAUGGGAGGCAUCGAGCCGCCGGACUCUAUCGAAUGAGACCGGUAUCCCCGACCACGUCGACCCUGCUUUAUGAGAACGCCUCCGGGCUAUAGCUGACCCCCUCGAAAGGGGCAGAGGUUCUCACUUGGAUUACCCAUUAGGAACUCAAUCUAGGGUGGAUGACGCUCGCUCUAUCGAGAGUACGUCGAAACCCUCACGCAAAGCGUGCCAAUCAGGACCUUCCACCACCGGUGUCGACAACGUUUCUGAGAAUUAGGCAAUAUAACCCUCGAAGGAGUCAAAAACUCCUCCAAGGGCUCGGGGGCUACCCCCGCUGGGUCGCUCGCGCGCCCCCACGGAGAUUCGACCUCAAAAUAAAGCCUCCACUCGAGCGCCAGCGCUCAAAUGGAGACUCAGGGGCUACUGUCGAGGGUAUCAGAAGGGGUACCCUCACCAAUGCACGUAAUGAGAUUACCCGUACGCAGGUCGAGGCCCUCAACUCGACGCUCUGGUCAGACAUACAUACGUCAACGACCGUAGCCUUGAAGACGGAAAAGGCGUCGAGCGAAUCGAUCAGGGCUCGAGCGCGAGCUACUGUCGAAUACGGAAACGGGCUCGCGCGAACCAAGAGGCGUCGAGCGCAAGGACGCCGCCCGCCGCCUGACGCACGCACGGGAACCAGGGCAUUUAAUGCGCCUGACGCGUUCUCACCUAACACGCCAGUCACGGGAAGCGUGAUAGGGAACAGGCACCCGUCCCAUCAUCCCUUUUGCAGCCUUCCCGCCAAACGACUCAGAACGUGCCAGGACGCGGGAAGCAGGGAUGGAACAUCUAAUCAGAACCCCCUCGAGACAUCUAAGGUCAACGCUUGGGACGACAAGGCGCUACGCGGCGUCCCACCCUCGACCAGAUAUGUUCCCUUCUAGGAAAAGGGUUGGGCGUCGACUGACAGCACCGCAACCACUCCGCCGAAUCUGCCACUAUACCGUACAGGCGUGCGACCGGUGAACCAGCCCAAGACGGCGCGCAGAGCAGGAUACAGGGGCACGCGUAAUCAUCACCAGGCUACCAAGACAGGACGGCUCGAGACCACGCCGGUACGGAGGCCUCGAGUAGGUCAACGCGCCAUGCUCCUAUCGACCCCUACUCUGACAUCUAUACAUGUACCCUAGGUCUCUCCUUGGAGCUAUAAAAGGGGAGACCGGGGAAUAGACAUAGACACAACACUACAUCCAUACGCAGUAGAACUCCCAUACUCCACCUCACUCCAUACCACGCUUGUAUUCGCCCCUGUACAAGCACUUAGGUGCUAGAUAAUACAAAUUUCCCUCCCCAGCUGGACGUAGGGCCUUCUCUUGCCCGAACCAGGAUAAAUCUUUGUGUCUUCUUGCAUCACCAUCUGGGAAAGGGAGCACGCAUACAAAUUUACUCGUUGGUGUGACCCCCGUGGGGAAAACACCGACAAUGAAUAUUUGCCUUCAUAAUUUAUUUAGUGUCACAAUGUGUUGCUUCCUUUCAGAGAGCUAAAUAUUUGUGCAGCCAUCAUUGCAUUUUGUUGUAUUUCGUUCAUAACAAUACCUGAUUACAUACCUUGCUGCACUGCAUUCAGAAGAGACAUGUGCCUUCUCGACAAGGCAGAAGUGCCUCCAUUGUCUCUGUAGGGGCUUAAUUCAGUAUUCACAUUGAAGCCACAACAACCAUUUGUAGUAGGGGGCUUAAUUCGUCAUUCACACCGAAGUCUAGGUUUUCAUUUGUUCUAAUAGCUGUUUUCCAUAUUUCAGAUCUUAGACUUCUUGACUUAGCUGGCAAUGAAUUGUUAUGGUGGCAGGUAACACAAUGUGUUAGCCUGCCCCAAUCAGUGGCAGAUCUAGGGGUAUUCCCCAGUAUUCCCAGGAAUACCUAACUAUUUUGGUACACUUUUAUGUAAAUAUGUGUAUAUACUUAUAUAUAUAAAUGUAUAAUGAUAUAAUAUAUAGUAUUUUGCACAUUUGAGCUCAAAACAUGUCAAAAACUAGCAUUUCAUUUAGAAUUCUAUAUUCUAGAAAGCAAAUAUUAGUUUAAAGCUGCUAACUUGCAGUACAAUUGACUAUAUUUUCAACCUAUAGAUUAACUUUGUGGAAGUAGGAAUACCCAAGUUUAAAAUUCUGGCUCCGCCACUGGCCCCAAUCCUCCAGUGGAUUUGCCUAAUGGAUGUGAGUUCUCAGGAAUUGGAUUUUUUUGUUAGUAAUUUUGGGAUGAUAAAUUGGGAGAACUAUAUAGUGUGCUUUUAGCUACUGAGGGAAGAGGUGAUCCCACAAGUAUCUGCUUGGUCAACUAUUAGUUUGCAGCUCUCUGCCAUUUAGUUAGAUUAUGUAUAUGUGCUAAUCCAAAUUGUUACUUGUAUGCCGUGCCAUAAAGCCUUAAGUGAGGAUAAUCUAUUCUAUAGAAAAACUAUGAACAAAUUCAUGUUAUAUUAAUAUUAGAGAUUAAUAUUUAUCAUAUUACUGUUCCUCUCCCUUCUAAAGAGAUGCUUGACAUGAACAAAAUCAUGGAGAAAAAAUAUGAACAAAUUCGUUAUUCUCAGACCAUUCACUAUCUUCUAUCUAGCUGUUUUCUUUCACUUUUCUCUAUGAAUUGUAAUCUUGGUUAUAUAGGUAUAUUUUGUGUGCUGGGUGCCAAGCAUUGUUCUAUCAAAGUAAUGAAAUCCAUUUUCUGUCGUUUGUUCUUCAUAUAAAUAUAAUAUAUAAUAGUUAUCAUUGCAACAACUCUUUCUAAUUCUUAAAUAAGGAAAAGCAUUCUAUCGUUUAACCUUUGCUUUCCCAUCACACAUGCCGAAGUUUAUUAAUAUGUCAACUAUUUUCAUGACAUUUUUUAGAUUAAUGAAUUGUUGCCUUGCCUCAGUUUGUAGGUUGAUCGUCUCUGAUGGGGUAGUGGUUUCCUCAUGCAGAUAAUGGCUUUUGUGUAGCCCACGAAAUAAUUGGGACCUGAUUUUAGCAAAUGUGACUUAUGAGAUUAAUGUGCACUUUAAAAUGCUUGAAAAAAACAGUAAAAAUUGUUCUGGUUAUAUUUGUGUUUCUGUGCCCCAAGAUGUUACAAGCUGCAUAGUCUAUAUUUUUAAUUUAAAUUUUGAUUUGCCCCAAACAUGUUGGCCCUUGUACUGGGCAUGAGGGUAGGCUAAUAACAGCUGGAGGGUGUAUACUAAGUGUUCUACCGAUUGCGGGUGUAUACUUAGUGUUCUACCGAUUGCAGCCAGUUUAUGUAUGAUCGACCUCUACAGUAUGUGUCAUCUAGCAUUCAAAAAAAAGGUGACAUAUUGGCUUCCCCAACUUUUCUCCUCAUGCUUACGUGAAGCAGCAUUUUAUUGUCUUAUCAUUGUCUUGCAUAUAUUUACAUAUAUUGGUUCAAGCAAGCAGAUGAUAAAUUGGAUUACCUAGGCGUGUAUGUAUGUUUUAGUAGUGGACUGUCAUUAUGGCUGGAACACGUUAAGUGUCAUUAUUAUGGACUGUCAUUAUGGUCUACCUGAGCAUGUUAUUUAAUCUGAAUUGGUUGGUUGUAAUAUACUGUCUUCAUAUAUAGGAUAUACUUUCUAUUUUUGGGGGGCAAUUUCCUGUCUUUCAUCUGCAACUAUUUGCAUCCUUGAAUCAAAGUGUUUCCCUGAAUCAACACAAGUGCUGAUAUAAUUUUACAUUUGUUUUCGCGUUGUACAUGAAUCAAUCCAAUGAAAUGUUGUCCGGUAAACAUCUUAAAAUGACCUUUCAUUGUCUCUUGGCUGAAGCUUUAUAAUACAAUUACAUUGCAUGGUUUAAUAUAGCUGGAAAUUAGAGAUGGCAGAGGUGAGGGCUAUGGUCUUAAGCAUGAUUAUCACAGAUAUGAUGCACACUAAAUAAUAUUCAUUAUAGGGCCAAUUAGAGGUUUGUACACUGAAGAUGUCAACUUUAACUAAAAUACAAGUAGUUCCUCUUACGAUUGAUUCAUUAUUGUUACUGUUUAUUUGACAAUCGUUGUAUAGUGCAGUGACUAGAAAGGAAUGGACUUGUCUGUUGAACAAAGAGCUUGCUGCUACAACCAACAAAAUCUGUCAAAUGAAGAAAUGCAGAUGUGUGCACAGACAAUGUUGCUACCCAAUUGACAAAAAGAGCCUCUUAUAGAUACUCUAAUCCUAAUCUUAGGUGUUGGCCCUACAAUGAUAGUAGAAACCAAGAAUGACUAUAUGUAUCGUUUGCUUAUAAAGUAUUGUGUUUUUCACACCAUUGCAGGGUGCCCUUUGGGCGCCUGAUGUUAAAGAUACUAUACUUUUGGUCUUAUCUCCCUGAAAAUACUUUUGUGA